AGCGCAACCCCUAUCCUCAGUUGCCAUCAUUAAGUUUGGGCGACUCUGUGGAGACUGCCGGUGUCAAACCGGAGGAAGGUGGGGAUGACGUCAAGUCCUCAUGGCCCUUAUGACCAGGGCUACACACGUGCUACAAUGGCCGGUACAAAGAGUUGCGAUACCGUGAGGUGGAGCCAAUCUCAUAAAGCCGGUCUCAGUUCGGAUUGGAGUCUGCAACUCGACUCCAUGAAGUUGGAAUCGCUAGUAAUCGCGGAUCAGCAUGCCGCGGUGAAUACGUUCCCGGGCCUU
rnacentral:rRNA from 1 species